GUAGCAAUACGUGGCAUACGGCUCAGUAACACGUAGUCAACAUGCCCAGGGGACGUGGAUAACCUCGGGAAACUGAGGAUAAACCGCGAUAGGUCAUAAUAUCUGGAAUGAUUUCUGGCUGAAAUCUACAUGGCCCCUGGAUUGGACUGCGGCCGAUCAGGCUGUUGGUGAGGUAAUGGCCCACCAAACCUAAAACCGGUACGGGCUCUGAGAGGAGAAGCCCGGAGAUGGGCACUGAGACAAGGGCCCAGGCCCUAUGGGGCGCAGCAGGCGCGAAAACUCUGCAAUAAGCGAAAGCUUGACAGGGUUAUUCUGAGUGAUUUCCGCUAAGGAAAUCUUUUGGCACCUCUAAAAAUGGUGCAGAAUAAGGGGUGGGCAAGCCUGGUGUCAGCCGCCGCGGUAAUACCAGCACCCCGAGUGGUCGGGACGAUUAUUGGGCCUAAAGCAUCCGUAGCCGGUUCUACAAGUCUUCCGUUAAAUCCACCUGCUUAACAGAUGGGCUGCGGAAGAUACUAUAGAGCUAGGAGGCGGGAGAGGCAAGCGGUACUCGAUGGGUAGGGGUAAAAUCCGUUGAUCCAUUGAAGACCACCAGUGGCGAAGGCGGCUUGCCAGAACGCGCUCGACGGUGAGGGAUGAAAGCUGGGGGAGCAAA
rnacentral:rRNA from 1 species